AAUUAUUUCUGGAUUUGACUGAUUGACUGAGAGCUGCUGGACAAUGAACUAUGCAGGAGGACGCUGAAUCUGUUUCAAUAUAUAUUCUUGAAACGGUAAUUUUCAAGAGUUCGCUGACUUCGCUCUCUACUGAUUACUCUCUUCUCGGGCUGUUUUUUUUUUCUUUCUGCAUAUUCAGUAGCUCCUCACCACAUUAAAUUUACUAUGGUUUGAUAUUUUAACUGUUUACAGAAUACGAUUCGACACCCAGCAGGAAACCUCAUCUAAGAAUGGCCACAGGACAAGAGUGAAUCAGAAGUUUAAGAAAUUAAGCACUUGGAGAGUGGCAGCUGAGAGGAGGAGUCGAGAUUUACAACCUGCAAUUCCUAUGUACGCCAGUAGCAGGCUCAGCGAGAACAAAACGUGCUGCGCGUACUUUGUACCCACAGCUGAAGUACUGCAUUUUAAUCAAAACUGCAUUCAGAAAAGGUUUGUACAACAGGUUGCUUAAGUUGUCAGUACGCAGAAUUUCUACGCUAUGCCCCACAAACCAGAAAUGCAAGGUGGGAAGGCUUUUGGUCGUUUGAAGGCUCAGCAGGAGGAGCGUCUGCAAGAAGUUAAUAAGGAAUUCCUCAGUGACCAGAAAUACAGUGAUGAAGAAGACUUGGAAGAAAAGCUGGAAUCUUUUAAAG